GAUGAACGCUAGCGGCAGGCUUAACACAUGCAAGUCGAGGGGCAGCACGGUAGCAAUACUGGUGGCGACCGGCAAACGGGUGCGGAACACGUACAGAAUCUACCUUUAUCUUGGGCAUAGCCCGGAGAAAUCCGGAUUAACUCCCCAUAAUAUAAAUGAGUGGCAUCACUUGAUUAUUAAAAAUUCAUUGGAUAGAGAUGACUGUGCGUCCCAUCAGCUAGUUGGUAGGGUAACGGCCUACCAAGGCGACGAUGGGUAGCUGGUGUGAGAGCACGACCAGCCACACGGGCACUGAGACACGGGCCCGACUCCUACGGGAGGCAGCAGUGAGGAAUAUUGGUCAAUGGACGCAAGUCUGAACCAGCCAUGCCGCGUGAAGGAUGAAGGCCUUCUGGGUUGUAAACUUCUUUUACCUGGGAAGAAACCACUUUUUUCUAAGAGUGUUGACGGUACCAGAGGAAUAAGCACCGGCUAACUCCGUGCCAGCAGCCGCGGUAAUACGGAGGGUGCAAGCGUUAUCCGGAUUUACUGGGUUUAAAGGGUGUGUAGGCGGGCUUUUAAGUCAGUGGUGAAAUCUCCGGGCUCAACCUGGAAACUGCC
rnacentral:rRNA from 1 species